ACGAGUUUGAUCAUGGCUCAGAUUGAACGCUGGCGGCAUGCCUUACACAUGCAAGUCGAACGGUAACAGCACUUCGGUGGCUGACGAGUGGCGAACGGGUGAGUAAUACAUCGGAACGUGCCCAGUCGUGGGGGAUAACGUAGCGAAAGCUACGCUAAUACCGCAUACGAUCUACGGAUGAAAGCGGGGGAUCGCAAGACCUCGCGCGAUUGGAGCGGCCGAUGGCAGAUUAGGUAGUUGGUGGGGUAAAGGCUCACCAAGCCUUCGAUCUGUAGCUGGUCUGAGAGGACGACCAGCCACACUGGGACUGAGACACGGCCCAGACUCCUACGGGAGGCAGCAGUGGGGAAUUUUGGACAAUGGGCGAAAGCCUGAUCCAGCCAUUCCGCGUGCAGGAUGAAGGCCCUCGGGUUGUAAACUGCUUUUGUACGGAACGAAACGGCCUUUUCUAAUACAGAGGGCUAAUGACGGUACCGUAAGAAUAAGCACCGGCUAACUACGUG
rnacentral:rRNA from 1 species